CCUGUUUUUUCAGCCCACACAUUCAACAGCAUCGGAUCCAUUUCCUUUUGGACUUCAAAUUAUUGGGCGUCGGUUCGUGCAAAUCCUCAUUGACCGGGUCGGGUUCGGCGGCUUUCAUAUCCGGCUCGUUUUCAUCCGCCAAUCGAAAAUUCGCUGUUGUCGACUAUGGAUUUCACAGUGAUUAAUCAGUGCUAAUGCUUCAGAAAAACUUUCGCGCUUUCACAGGCUCGACAACUUGGGGCCGACCUUAGGCGGGUACCCCUCUGAAGUCCAACGGAGGACACCAACCCCAGCCAUGAGCCUUCUGAUCGUCCCAUUGACCCGUCCAUUUGGGAGUUGUCCGCCUUUGCAGCCAGAUGUGCCCGCUAGCUGUUUUAUGCUUAUUACCUCAAUCGCUGGAACCAACAGCUUUUAGAUAUUUUUUCGAUAAGUGGAAAUCUGAUAACAGGCUGAAGUGUAGCAAAAGUUAUUUGGACAGCCAAAUGAACAAGCUGUCAAUUCUGCAAAUGUAUAAAUAUGAGACAACACAUUAUUACAUUGAAACCUUUGAGCUCUCGCAGGGCCUAAGUUUUUAUACAAUUUAGCACUUACACACUAUUAGUCUACUAGCUGGGCAUGGUUCUUGCUGUCUGUCCAACACGAUAGUGGCAUCUAUGUUCACUGGAUUCGCUAAUUGGGGACAAAUGUUCCAACAUACCCUACUCCAACGAUGAAGAAAGCUCCUGCUUGCAGGAACAGAACCAUCAAGUGAUGCAGAAAUCUAGCCUCAAAGACGACACGCCUCAUUUGGAAUCAUGUGAAUAUGGAACAUAACACGUUUUGAGCACAUCCAAGUCUAAUGUCGUCAUCAACUCUUUGAAUUGUCAUCUAAAUUGUCCAUUCUUGUGCGGGUUACUUGCAGUCCCAAGUCAUGAUGGAUAUGUUAGUAAGUGGUUGGCUUUAUUUAAAUGUUUAUAAGCUACCUUCUGAAUGAUGACUUUCCUAAUUAUUCGUUGCUAUCGGUAAUGCUUUAGAAAGUAGAAAAAUUUGGUUUAAAUACGUCCGACUUGUUGAGGGCAAUAUUCUAGUUAAGCUAUGUCCAAUUUUGUUUAGGGCAAUAAAUUGCUGGCUAAUUUGGCUGAUUUGGUUACCCAAUUUGUCAACUUUCCUACACUAAAAUGUUGUUAAGUUAGUUAAAACUUAUAAGCAACUUGUAAUGUGUUAGUGACUAACGUCACUUGGGUAAGAAACAAGAAUGUUCAGCUUAAUUGGCACAUGUCAAUUUACACUUCAUAAAAUGAUGUAUUUUGAAAAUCAAAGUAUGGAGUUCACCAAAUAUGUUUUUUCUAGUUCUGAAUCUUUUGGUUAUGUGUACUGAUAACCUCUAAAUUUAGUCCAUGUGGAUACGAUCCUGGUUUUGACUCUUAAAGGAUAUUGUUUGAUGUUUGUGGGUGCUAAAUGAAUAAGAUAAAAUUGACACUUUUUUUCACUUGUUUUUUCUUGUUUUUAUUCUUUAACCUGAACCAACAUUUACCCUGAUUUUUUGUGAAAACAUUGUAAAUUCUGUAUAUGAGGAUGUAGGUGAAUAGUGCGAAUUAUAUCCAUCCAUAUGAAUAUUCUUAAUGUGCUUCUCCUAAAUUCUUAAGUGAUUGAGUCUCCUCAGUAGCUCAUCGUUAUAUGGAUAAAAUGAUUUUGGUCUUUCUUCUAUUCUUUCUUUUGUUUUUGUUUCACAUAUAUAUAUAUAUAUAUAUAUAUAUAUCUUGUCUUAGGUUUGCAUAAAUACUGUAAUAGAUUACGCCAUUUCGUCAUUGUUGAUGCUUUAUUUUUUAUUUUCUCUUUGUAUUACUCCAACCUUUAUUCCUUCCAAAAUGGGAAUGUGACAGUUGUAAGUUUUGGGGAAAUAAGUAAUAAAAAAAAAAGAAUUUUGGACGUGCCACCUUAGAUUCUAAAAUUCACUUCAAGUGCAUUUAAGAUUCUAUAAGUUCAUAUCAUUGUGGAGAUCUCCUCUACAAUACCUAGUAUAGCUAAGAAUUCUUGAGAUUUUCAAUACUAUUUCCAUGUGAUUAUGUGAAAAAUCUACUUUCAAAAGCUAUAAACUUCAAGAUCCUGUAAGGAUAUGAGAUCUGCAAUCAUAAUUAUGAUCUUGAAUAAGGAUUUCCUUUCUACAAAUAUGCGUAGGGAUGCAUAAGCACAUGUGCACUAAAAAAUAAAUUUAACAAACCCUGUAAGCUACUACAGCUGCAAGUUUAGGCGAAUUCAUUUAUGAAAUGACCCACUGAAGUUGGAUAAUCUCUUUUAGUCUCUAGUGACCUAACUUUUGACCAAUGGCUGUUUUCCCCUGGAACACAUUGUUGACUCCUGUAUAUUACAUGUUAACCACUGAUUGUAUAGAUUGUUUCCCGAGUUUUUGGUUUCCAUUACCACAAUGUUAUCGACUAUAUUGUUCAAACACUUUCUCACUUCUGUAAUUUAUAUGUUGGGUGAUGCGGCUAAUUUGAUCAUCACUAUGUAUGUCGUGGAUAUAUGUCCUAAUAGUGAUAAUUGAUGAUAUGGUACAACAGUCCUCAUGUUUGAAAAUCUGACAUGUUUUCAGAUGCAAGUUGCUUCUUUCUUUCUUUAGAAACUCAAGACAUUAGGGGCUUGACCGUCUAUAACUGAAGUAUUGAAGUAAAACGACUUAUAUAUCUUGUGGUUAAUUGUUAAUAAUCCAACAUAUAAGCAUUUCUAUCUUCUUCUUCUUCUUGUUUAAAUUAGAUUUAAACAAUCUUUCCGAAGAAAACAAAUGGACUGUACAUUUGUUUUAUAAUUGUGGUUUUUGGGCCAGCUUGCGCAUACUUCGACGAAUUCCACGGGAUACCUGCUUCCUCCCACUAGCAACAGGUACCAGGUAAUUCUAUCCACCAAGGCUUGCAUAGAUGCGAAAAAAUCACCUUGUGUUUUUGUCUCCACUGAGAUUUGAACCUGAAACGUCAAAUUCUCAAUCCGCUUCAUUGACCACUAGGCUACACCCUUGGGUGCUAAUAGAAUGUAUCUUUGUUGAAAUCCAGCUUCUUUUAUGUUACUUCUAAGAACGGUGCAUUUCUGUUGGAUCAGAGGUAAACCCAUGCUACACAAAUGAAUGUCUUUUUAAGAAUCAUGACCGUGAAUUCAAUUUCAAAUUCUUGCGCUGUUGUGCAUUCUCCACCUUUUACCUCUUCAUUAAUGCUGAUUUUGUUAUGAGACUGACAUUUCCACUUCUUUUUCAUGGUAUCCCUUCAAUUAAAUGGGAAGAUUGCAUCUUAUUUCCCUGUUACUGACAAAUUGAGAAGUGGUGCAUGGUCAGACGUUUUUACCUUUCAAACAUUACUGUCAUACUCAUCACAUUUGAACCGGAUAUCAUGCCUGUGCAGCCAAUCAAUCAGACCACUUGAAUAUUCCAAUUUGUUGGAUCAACAUUAGUUGUUGAUGGUUCCUUCUUUUCCCCUAAUUGGUUGUUGAUCCUUAAAGAUUAAUUUGUGCAUGUGUGGGUUGGUGCUUGUGAUUAUUGCUUGGAAUGAUAGAUCAUGUGACAUCUGAUCAUUGUGGAGGAGGAGCUUUGGUUUGCUUUAGGGAGAAAACCAGCACAUCAUCUAUGUGUCGUUCAUUGUCAGUUCACCACUUUCUAAAAGACCUUAUAACAAAAGGGCCUGACUCAGGAAUAAGCACUGUAUCCAACCUUUUAUCAUUUUCCAACCAUGUGGGAAGCAUAUCGAAUUACAAAUUCAUUGCCUUUUGUUAAAUGAAACCAUUCCAGCGUCUGCGGUCCUAACUGCUAAGUGCAUUUUUCUAUGCGUGUUUCUUUUCAUGGGUGUUGGGCCUCUGAAAUGUCUUUCUGCCAGAACCAAACUCCAUUAGUAGGUUGUAUUGGUUUAUUAACGUGGUUGAGGCUCUCCAGUUUCUUGAAAUGUGGAGGACGGAUAAUCUACUCCAAUAUAUAGUUUUGCCUCCAAGAUAUUGUUGUUCAAUUACGUGCCUAAUAUGUCUUGCCUAAUAUGUCUUGGAUAUAUAUUGGUGUUGCAGGUGAGUGUCUUUUUCAAUGCGUUUCCUAAGAUCCGCAAUUACUACGAGGAAAAAUCAUCUCUUCUUUCCAUUUCUGUGUGCGGAUUCAUGCAUCUUUCCCUGCAUUUCAAGGUAUUAAUUAGCUUAUUUUCCAAGUUUCCGUAAAAAGGUAAUCUCUGUUCUUGUUCAUGUCAAAUGCAUCACAAAGGUGAUGCUAAUGUCGGUUAAAUUUGAGUUUUGUAGUGCACUAAAUCCUUUCGAAGGAAAAGAGAGAAAAACAGUAACUUUUUGGUGUUUUGCAUUGUCUUGAAUGUUACAAGAUAUGAUGUAGCUACUGAACUUGACAACGUGAAUUUAUAAUACUAUCAUCCAUUUAGUUGAA